rnacentral:rRNA from 1 species
AUGCAAGUCGUGCGAGAAAGUACCUUCGGGUGCGAGUAGAGCGGCGGACGGGUGAGUAACGCGUAGGAAUCUACCUAGUAGAAGGGGAUAGCCCGAGGAAACUCGGAUUAAUACCGUAUACCUCCUUAGGGAGAAAGAGGGCUUAGCUUUGAUGCUCUCGCUAUUAGAUGAGCCUGCGUAAGAUUAGCUUGUUGGUGAGGUAAAGGCUCACCAAGGCGACGAUCUUUAGCUGGUCUGAGAGGACGAUCAGCCACAUUGGGACUGAGACACGGCCCAGACUCCUACGGGAGGCAGCAGUGGGGAAUAUUGGACAGUGGGCGCAAGCCUGAUCCAGCCAUACCGCGUGUGUGAAGAAGGCUUUCGGGUUGUAAAGCACUUUAAGUAAGGAGGAAAAGAUUGUAGUUAAUACCUGCAAUCCGUGACGUUACUUACAGAAUAAGGACCGGCUAAUUCCGUGCCAGCAGCCGCGGUAAUACGGAAGGUCCAAGCGUUAAUCGGAAUUACUGGGCGUAAAGCGCGCGUAGGUGGUUUUUUAAGUUGGAUGUGAAAGCCCUG